AGGCACAGUUUAUCUGCAAAGUACAUAGCUACAUUGGAACCAACUAACAGUCUUACUAAACUAGUGUCAUCAUCAAUACAGUCUUCAGGACCCAAAAGAUAUUAAAAUCGGCACAUAUCACCUAAUUUUUUCUAUUAAAAAUAUCUAUUUCUUCUAAAAAGAUUAGCUCAAAAUUGAUUAUGGACUUCCAUGUAAACAUAAAACUAUAAAACUUUAGAAACACGAACAUUGAAGAAAAACUUCAGGUC
rnacentral:lncRNA from 10 species